GCUUCUUCUUCCCCGACAUUUCUACUUCUCUCUCUUUUCAAUUACCUUGCCGCUAUUGCAGAGCCGAUUCAAUUGCCAUUUCCAUUUUUAUUAUUAUUAUGAACAAAGGCAUUGGUGGUGGAACUGGCCCCACCGCAGCGGCUGCUGCGGCGGCAGCUCAGAAACAGAAACUGCUUCUUCAGAGAGUCGAAACCGAUAUAGCCAACAUUGUCGACAAUUUCACCCAUCUUGUCAACGUCUCAAGGGUGAACGAUCCACCUGUUAGGAAUUCACAGGAAUCUUUCAUGAUGGAAAUGCGUGCGUCCAGAAUGGUUCAGGCAGCUGAUUCUCUGCUUAAGUUGGUUUCAGAACUUAAGCAGACAGCAAUCUUUUCUGGAUUUGCUUCACUAAACGAUCACGUGGAGCAAAGAAUCGUGGAAUUCAAUCAGCAGGCGGAGCAGACCGACCGUAUCAUAUCUAAAAUUGGUGAAGAAGCUGCUGUAGGGCUUAAGGAGCUUGAAUCUCAUUAUUAUUCUUCAACACAGAGGACUAGUCAGAACAGGCUGACAUGAUUUGUUGUCUAGCAGCCAUUCCAGCUGCAUUGCCAGUUCAGUCUCCACCAAUGGUUUCAUCACUUAGCUCUGGUGGUCUUAGUGAGGGCAAUCUCCAUGUGCCCUAAUCUUCUCCAUCCUCGCAUUAAUAAAAUGUGUUAAUGUUGGGAAAUUGAGAUUGUGCAAAGCUCUAGGUAGAUCUUCUGUAACUUCUACCAAUAUUGUGAUAUGAUGAAGAAGAGAAUUUUUUGAGAGUGAAUUUUUGGAUUGACGGGAUCAAUCUCCAAG